rnacentral:rRNA from 1 species
ACGAGCGGCGAACGGGUGAGUAACACGUGGGUGAUCUGCCUUGCACUUCGGGAUAAGCCUGGGAAACUGGGUCUAAUACCGGAUAUGACCACGGGAUGCAUGUUUUGUGGUGGAAAGAUUUAUCGGUGCGAGAUGGGCCCGCGGCCUAUCAGCUUGUUGGUGAGGUAACGGCUCACCAAGGCGACGACGGGUAGCCGACCUGAGAGGGUGACCGGCCACACUGGGACUGAGACACGGCCCAGACUCCUACGGGAGGCAGCAGUGGGGAAUAUUGCACAAUGGGCGAAAGCCUGAUGCAGCGACGCCGCGUGCGGGAUGACGGCCUUCGGGUUGUAAACCGCUUUUGACAGGGACGAAGCGCAAGUGACUGUACCUGUAGAAUAAGGACCGGCCAACUACGUGCCAGCAGCCGCGGUAAUACGUAGGGUCCGAGCGUUGUCCGGAAUUACUGGGCGUAAAGAGCUUGUAGGCGGUUCGUCGCGUCGUUUGUGAAAACUUGGGGCUCAACCUUAAGCUUGCAGGCGAUACGGGCGGACUAGAGUACUUCAGGGGAGACUGGAAUUCCUGGUGUAGCGGUGAAAUGCGCAGAUAUCAGGAGGAACACCGGUGGCGAAGGCGGGUCUCUGGGAAGUAACUGACGCUGAGAAGCGAAAGCAUGGGUAGCAAACAGGAUUAGAUACCCUGGUAGUCCAUGCCGUAAACGGUGGGUACUAGGUGUGGGGCUCCUUCCACGGACUCCGUGCCGUAGCUAACGCAUUAAGUACCCCGCCUGGGGAGUACGGCCGCAAGGCUAAAACUCAAAGAAAUUGACGGGGGCCCGCACAAGCGGCGGAGCAUGUGGAUUAAUUCGAUGCAACGCGAAGAACCUUACCUGGGUUUGACAUACACCGGAAACCUGCAGAGAUGUAGGCCCCCUUGUGGUCGGUGUACAGGUGGUGCAUGGCUGUCGUCAGCUCGUGUCGUGAGAUGUUGGGUUAAGUCCCGCAACGAGCGCAACCCUUAUCUUAUGUUGCCAGCGCGUAAUGGCGGGGACUCGUGAGAGACUGCCGGGGUCAACUCGGAGGAAGGUGGGGACGACGUCAAGUCAUCAUGCCCCUUAUGUCCAGGGCUUCACACAUGCUACAAUGGCCGGUACAGAGGGCUGCGAUACCGCGAGGUGGAGCGAAUCCCUUAAAGCCGGUCUCAGUUCGGAUCGGGGUCUGCAACUCGACCCCGUGAAGUUGGAGUCGCUAGUAAUCGCAGAUCAGCAACGCUGCGGUGAAUACGUUCCCGGGCCUUGUACACACCGCCCGUCACGUCAUGAAAGUCGGUAACACCCGAAGCCGGUGGCC